AUUGAACGCUGGCGGCAUGCCUAACACAUGCAAGUCGAACGGCAGCACAGCAGUAGCAAUACUGUGGGUGGCGAGUGGCGGACGGGUGAGGAAUACGUCGGAAUCUGCCCAGUCGUGGGGGAUAACUAGCCGAAAGGUUAGCUAAUACCGCAUACGACCGAGAGGUGAAAGCGGGGGACCGCAAGGCCUCGCGCGAUUGGAUGAGCCGACGUCGGAUUAGCUAGUUGGCGGGGUAAAGGCCCACCAAGGCGACGAUCCGUAGCUGGUCUGAGAGGAUGAUCAGCCACACUGGAACUGAGACACGGUCCAGACUCCUACGGGAGGCAGCAGUGGGGGAUAUUGGACAAUGGGCGCAAGCCUGAUCCAGCAAUGCCGCGUGUGUGAAGAAGGCCU
rnacentral:rRNA from 1 species